rnacentral:tRNA from 1 species
GCCAGCAUGGCAUAGUGGUUUGAAUGUUGGACUGCGACUCUGGAGACCAGGGUUCAAAUGCCAGUUUGGCC